rnacentral:rRNA from 1 species
GACGUAGGGCGCGAGCGUUGUCCGGAAUUAUUGGGCGUAAAGAGCUCGUAGGCGGCUUGUUGCGUCGACUGUGAAAUCCCGCGGCUCAACCGUGUGGCUUGCAGUCGAUACGGGCAGGCUAGAGUUCGGUAGGGGAGACUGGAAUUCCUGGUGUAGCGGUGAAAUGCGCAGAUAUCAGGAGGAACACCGGUGGCGAAGGCGGGUCUCUGGGCCGAUACUGACGCUGAGGAGCGAAAGCGUGGGGAGCGAACAGG